UAUUAUUUUUAUUGAUAAUCCAAUGAUGAAAGUAGUUCCUUUCCUUUUUUUUUGGGAUUUAAACACUACUUGCAGUGAAUCAAGUGGUGUAAAGUCAUAUCAACCACUUAUCAUAUUAGAGGCAAAUCAACCAAAAUCUCCAAUUGUGGGUUCAAAUCAACUGGAAGGGUGAGAAUGCAAAGGCUUUCACAUGGUGAUGAUGGACAGUUUUGGGGAC
rnacentral:lncRNA from 1 species